rnacentral:pre_miRNA from 1 species
CUUAUACUCCCUCUAUCCUAAAAUUCUUGUUUUAGAUUUGUCUAAAUACGGAUGUAUCAAGUCAUGUUUUAAUAUUAGAUAUAUUCGUGUCUAGACAAAUCUAAUAUAAGAAUUUUGAGACGAAGGGCAUAUUUU